CGACAUUCGAUCAUUAUUGGUUAAGUACCAACGUUGAAUGUCAUCUAUAGUUCACUUAUUACGUUCUCGCGUUCUUCGUUUAAUUUCUAUUAAACCUUACUAGAUCUUCUUACAUUAGCACCUUAUAAGUGAUUUAAGGUCAGUCUCAUUAUGUACAUUAAGUACCUUCAAUGUCUUAUCUUAAGUCUACAUUCAAAUGGAACAAAACUUAACUUGGU
rnacentral:lncRNA from 1 species